rnacentral:rRNA from 1 species
AUACGGUGAAUACGUUCCCGGACCUUGUACAUACCGCCCGUCAAGCCAUGGAAGCUGGGUGUACCUAAAGUCGGUAACCGUAAGGAGCCGCCUAGGGUAAAACUAGUAACUGGGGCU